UACGAGGGGGGCGAGCGUUGUUCGGAAUUAUUGGGCGUAAAGGGUGCGUAGGCGGUUUGGUAAGUCUGAUGUGAAAUCUAUGGGCUCAACUCAUAGUCUGCAUCGGAAACUGCCGGGCUUGAGUGUGGGAGAGGUGAGUGGAAUUCCUGGUGUAGCGGUGAAAUGCGUAGAUAUCGGGGGGAACAUCAGUGGCGAAAGCGGCACCCUGGCAUUUGCCUGACGCUCAUGUGCGAAAGCGUGGGGAGCGAUGGG
rnacentral:rRNA from 1 species